GACGAACCGUGCGAACGUUGUUCGGAAUCACUGGGCUUAAAGGGCGCGUAGGCGGGCUGCUAAGUCAGGGGUGAAAGCCCACGGCUCAACCGUGGAAGUGCCUUUGAUACUGGCGGUCUGGAGGGAGGUAGGGGCGUGCGGAACUUCCGGUGGAGCGGUGAAAUGCGUAGAUAUCGGAAGGAACACCGGUGGCGAAAGCGGCGCGCUGGACCUCUUCUGACGCUGAGGCGC
rnacentral:rRNA from 1 species